GGAGAGGUGACCGAGAGGCCGAAGGUACCCGCUUGCUAAGCGGGCGUUCCCUAACCCGGAACCGCGGGUUCGAAUCCCGCCCUCUCCG
rnacentral:tRNA from 1 species